CUUCUCCCUCUGCCUGUGUCUCUGCCUCUCUCUCUCUCUCUCUGUGUGUGACUAUCAUAAAUAAAUUAAAAAAAAAUUUAAAAAAAAUGUGUUGAUUUGGGAGUGUGGUCCUAGACCCCAUUGAAAGAAGGAGUCAGCACGUGCACCGUGUUACCUUUGUAAAUCAUGAAAAACUAUGAUUUUGGAAAUACUUUCAGGAUACAGUCAUUUUGGCCCUGUCCUAUAAUGCCACACAAAAGAGGACUGGAUAAUUAAUUCUAGACAUCCUUGUGACACAGUACUACGGAGCUAAUCAAAAGCAAAUCCGUGAAAACUUAAGGACAUAGGAAAACAUCUCCAGCAGAUUGUUAUAAAUUAUUUAUGUAAAUUUGAAAAAGAGCACAUGGAAUCUGAUCUUAAGUUUAUAUUAAAAGAUAUUCCUUAUGCAUAGAAAAAGCUUGGAAUGCAGCUUCCCGUAAUGUUAAUAGGGAGUUGUCUCUGUGGUGCCUCUGGUUUUAGCCUUUCCAGGAUCUAUGUAAUUCUUUUAUAACAGAAUUUUUUUUUAAACCACUGUUACUAAAAACAACUUGGUACCCACACUUUUGACUGUGUGGUCUCAGACAAAACACGUGAUCAACCCGAGCCCGAUUUUCUGUUUUGUAAGUUGAGACCAUCAGUGCCGACUUGACAGAGUUGCUGAGAGACAAACUCCCCGGGCAGAGGCAGGCUUGGUGGGGGCGGUUUUAAUAAUAGCACCGGGACCCCACGUACAAGGCUCGUCUUGGGCGGCAGCAGGAUGAGUAGAUCCCUGGGCCUGCUCCAAUCUUAAAAGCCCAUGAAGGGGACCUCCCCAGCCUCACAUGCCCUGCAGGGGUUUUCAACAUCGUGGAGCCACUCAAGGCCGAGUCCCCAGGGCAGCCUCUGGGGGCGGAAAGGCAAGAGGAACCCACGUGCCCAGGACAGCGGCGGCGGCAAGGAGCCCGGGGUCCCUAGGUCCAGCUCGCAGACCAGUCUGUGGUCAUGUCUUUUUUCCAUCGCCUUCCCCAGUGGGACCAGAUCAUGCGAGGCCUUGAGCCCCUGGUAAGGACUCAGAUUUGUAUUCAUCAAUUAUGAAAAAAGGAUUCCUCAAUGACCCACGAGUGGUCGUUCUCAAAACUUCAACCUCUCCAACUACUCCAGAGCAAAGGACACUUUAACCUUCAUUCAUUUAAGAAAUUGUUGUUGCUAAAAAAACAAAACAAACAGACAGAAAACAGCCUAGCGGUUGCCAGAGGAAGGGGUUGGGGGAGAUGGGUAACAUUAAAGGGCACAAACUUCCAGGUUUAAGAUAAACUAACCAAGGAGAUGUCGUAUACAGCGUAGGGAAUGUCGGUAACAAUAUCCACAACCUGUGCGAAGACAGACGCUAGCUGGGCCUGGGCCUAUCACCGUGACCACUUUUUUUCCUCUUGGGGGUGAGAGGAAGGAGAGAAGGAGGGAGCAGGAGCAGGGCAGUGGGAGCAGCGGGAGAGGCAGGGGGAGAGGGAGAGGCAGACUCCCCACUGAGCCUGGAGCCAGGAGCCGGACUUGGGGUCCCACCUGGGUUUCCUUCAGCUCAGGACCCUGAGAUCAUGACCCGAGCUGAAGGCAGGCGCUUAACCAAUUGAGCCAGGGUCUAGGCGGCCCUCACAGUGGUCACUUCUUAACGUAUACACACGUUGAACCGGACGUUGUACCCCUGAAACGAAUACAAUAUUGCAUGCGGGUCCCCCGGGGUGCUGGGACGGGCCUCACUGGGCGCACAGCAGUGAGGCUGGGCCGAGGCCCUGCGGCCAGGUCCCCGCCGGGAGUGCAGAGCCGGAACAGGAACAGGAGCGAGAUCGGGGUCCUGUGGGGACACAGAGGUGACGCCACCGCCCCUCUGGCCUCUCCUGGCCGCGGCUUCAUCCGAGCAUCAUCUUCCUCGUCUCUUCUUCAGUCUGUGGCCCCAGCGCAGUCCCGUCUUGGAAGGACGGAGCUCGGACCCUGCCUCUUCCACAGCUUCCCUCAGGGUCACCCCCUGGUCGUGGGUGCCUCUCGUGUGACUCUCCCAGCACCUCACUCCUGUCUUUCCAGGAUCCCCCCAGUUCUUUUUUAAUUCAUGAGAGACCCAGGGAGAGAGGCAGAGGCGCAGGCCGAGGGAGAGGCAGGCCCCCUGCAGGGACUGACCGGGCUCACGGCCUGGCCCGAGGCAGACGCCCCACCGCUGAGCCCCCGGGCGCCCCAAUUCUCCCGGUUCUGGCCUGAACCGCGCGUGCCCUUGUGUGCAUGGUCCGUCCCGUCAUCGCCCCAGUGCUCCCCGCCGGCACUGGCAGGACACUUCGGCAGAAUCUUUUUAUUUUUUUAAAGAUUUCACCUGUCCGUUCAUGAAAGACACGGGGAGAGGCCGAAGGAGAGGCCGAGGGAGAGGCAGGCUCCACGCAGGGACCCGAGGUCAUGCCCCGGGCCCAAGGCAGGUGCCAAACCGUUGAGCCCCCCGGGGAUCUUGUCCAGAAUCUUGUCGUCUUUGCCCCACACGGAAUCUUUGAUCAGAUGUCGCUCGUGUCAGUGUUUCCAGAAAGGAAGGGGCGGCGUCCACACUGAGCCGGACACCGGAGUAGCAGCUGAGGGAGGCCGCGGCUUCCUGGUCCCGGGAGGGGGGUGAGCCGGCCCCCCGAGGAGCGCACGGGCCGGCCCCUCCCUGCCCUGUGUCCUUGCAUUGACCCCUGAGCUUGUCCAGGGGCGGCCGAGGCCUGAGCGGGCCCAGCGGGCCGUGGCCUCUCGUCUUUCGGUCUUUGACUUUGGGUUCCUAAAACCUAGGGAGGGAAAUGAGCUCGUUCCCCAGGAGGGAAAUGAAACUCCUGAAGACUCCCCCAGCCGCCAGCUGACGUGGGGCAAGAGGACGAUUCCCAGUUCGGGCCCCAAAGGAAAUCCCCUCCGGGUCAUGUGCUGAGGCCGAAGGGGGGGCGGCGGGGUGAAGGGGGAGCCACCCCAGGCGGAGGUCGCUCGGGAGCCUUCCCCGAAGGGGGGCCCAAGACACCCUGGGGAUGGGGAUGGGGUGGGAGGGCUGCGGCGCCGAGGAGAGACCUUGCAAGUAAGGGAGGUCGGAGGGGCCAACACUCGCUCUGUGUUUAGGGAAACUGAGCGGAUCGGCCUGGAUGGAGCCGCCGUCUCCCCAGCCCCAGCCGUGCAGACGCCAGCCCCAGCCGUGCAGACGCCGAGAGGAGGGAAGGCCGAGGGACAGGAGGCGGCCCGGCCCUGACGCCAUGAACAAGCAGGAGGCCGAGAAGGCGGCCAGUCCCCUGUUGGAGAAAAGGCCCGAGAGUCUUGGCCUGGGACAGGACUGCGGCCCAAGAGGGCCUUGCCUGCCUCGCCAACUGGCCUCACGACGGGAGCUGCGGCGCCAGAGGGCUGGUCUCCAGACGCGUCCACAAGCGUCUCCCGUGAGUCCACCCGGGCCGUGCACCGCCAACGGCCACUCAGCUGCCUCAGCCGGGCCCGACUGCAGACGAGGCGAGGAAGAAGCAGAGGUCGUUGGCCUGGGCUGAGAAGAAAGUUGUGGGCAAAGACAUUGCUCCACUCAGAGGCUGCCGUCCUCCAGGCUGGGAUCCAACUGUCGCUAGAAGGUUCAGCUGGUAGUGAUUGCACGUGACGUGGAUCCCAUCGAGCUGGUGUCCUCCUGUCUGUCCUGCGUGGUGGGAUGGGGUCCCCAUCGCGUUAGCAAGGGGAGCGCCGGGAAGGGGCGCCUGGUCCCCGUGAAGACCUGCCCCUCUGUCGCCCUCACACAGGUUAACUCGGAAGACGGAGGAGCUCUGGCUAAGCUGAUGAAGCCGUCGGCACCAAGCACGACAGAUACGAUGUCCACCCUCACCGGGGUGGCUCACACGGCCAAGCUGGAAAAGACAAAGGCUAAAGAACUGGCCUCCAAACUGGGCUGAGCGGACGCUGGUUGAAUCUUCUGUGCAGAAAAGUAAUGAGAAGUUCUCUUUCAAAUAAGAAAAAAAAGACUGGAUGAAACCCGCGUGUAGAUGCACGUCGAAGAAUGGAAGGUAACACUGAGGAGAGGCCACGGGCGAGACCAGGCUCCAUGAGGCAUCUGGACUUUCUCCUCCAGUUGAGAAGUACCCAGGUCCUUGCUUUUACCUCAGGCUCCUCGGAAAUCCUGGUGUCCUGCUUGACACAAAACUUGGCUUUGUCACGGUUGAGGAGAUGAGCACAGGCCCCGCACACGGAGAGGGCUCAAGGCAAAAGGCACGUGGUCCCCCGACUCCCAGCACCCCAAGGAGGGAUGAGCCUGGCCGGGCAGGGGGUUCGCAGCCGGGGUGGAUUCCGGGGGAGGCACCCUCACCUGCUCUGCCCUGAGCGGCCUGCUCGGGAGGGGGUCCGGCCCUGGGCUGUGCAGCCGGGCUCACGGCCUUCUGGAAGGAAAACAGUGUCGUUUUCAUUGAUGUCAGCUCUCGUCGUCGUAGGUCCGUUCAGCUUGCUCCCGACUGGACGGAGACGUUGGUGCUGUUUGCCCACAGCCUGGCUUGUCCCCGCUCAUCCAUCAAGACCGUUUUUUUUUUUUUUUUUUUUUAUGAUAGUCACACAGAGAGAGAGAGAGAGAGAGAGGCAGAGACACAGGCAGAGGGAGAAGCAGGCUCCAUGCACCGGGAGCCCGACGUGGGAUUCGAUCCCGGGUCUCCAGGAUCGCGCCCUGGGCCAAAGGCAGUCGCCAAACCACUGCGCCACCCAGGGAUCCCCAGGACCAUUUAUUUUCUAAGGACUUUUUUGAGGGGCAGCAGCUCCCGUCCUCAGAAGAGAUUCUGUGAAGAUCCUAAACGUAUAAAACAUUUACAAGUGGAAUUGCUUGGGGUAAGGAGGGGACGGAUUGCCUGGAGUCCCACGGGAUGGACAUUCCAAGGAUAAUAAUGCCAUACGGAAUCACAAAUCAACAGGCUCCAAGCGAUGCAAGCCAGCCCUCCAGGAUACUUCAGCCCUCUCGCUCUGAUGGGAAAGAACAGAACUGGAGAUGCCUUCUCUGCCCCUCCGAGGGUGGCUGCCUGCAUUUCUCACUUGGGAGGCAGCAGACGCUGUAAAUAUUUUGCCUUCUCCACUGGAUUCAAGCUCCUUGAGAACAGGAGCUGUGAGAUAAUGCACAUAAAGCUCUUACCAUAGUGCCUGGCA